rnacentral:rRNA from 1 species
CCUACGGGAGGCAGCAGUGGGGAAUAUUGCGCAAUGGGCGGAAGCCUGACGCAGCAACGCCGCGUGGGGGAUGAAGGCCUUCGGGUUGUAAACCUCUUUCAGCAGGGACGAAGCGGGAGUGACGGUACCUGCAGAAGAAGCGCCGGCUAACUACGUGCCAGCAGCCGCGGUAAU